UUCUCUCCAACACACCAUGGAACCACCGAUUCGACACGCGUGUCUAAUAAUGGCACAUCCAGAAGCUAUAAUUAGGCCUAAACAGUUUUCGACUAACAAAAAACUUGUUCCAAGAAUGUCAGAUGAAUACAGUAAGAAGACAAAAUAUUCAAACAACCGAGAUGACGAUUAACAAUCGCUACUGAAAACUGGAGUGUGUUAUAUCACGAGAAACAGAAAAACAAUGUUUUAACUACAGACCGCACCGAAGUGGAAUGUGUUAUAUCACGAGAAACAUAAAAACAAUGUUUUAACUACAGACCGCACCGAAGUGGAAUGUGUUAUAUCACGAGAAAGAAACAGAAAAAAAUGUUUUAACUACAGACCGCAUCCAAGUGGAAUGUGUUAUAUCACGAGAAACAGAAAAAAAUGUUUUAACUACAGACCGCAUCCAAGUGGAAUGUGUUAUAUCAC